GGAAAUAGAUGUGCUCCGUGUAGUGGAGAAUGCACAAGGAUAAUUCAUCAGAGUCUGUUUGGUUUUGUUCUCUUCUGCACUGCUCUGUUCUGUUUUGAGGCAUGGUCUCAAGUAGCCCAAGCUGGCUUGGAAUUUACAUGCAGCCAAGGAUGGCUGUAAUCUACCUAAGUACAGGCAGCAGCUGCCAUGCUGGACUCCUAAUCAAUGGCUUGAAGGUUCAGAGAUCAUUGCAGAAGAGAGAGCAGAAAGAUUCUAAACAGCCAAAGUCAUGAAGGAUGAGAAUGGAAUUGUGCCUCCUGGACACGACACAACCUGUGCACUCCUGAACCCACAGCAGCUGCGGGUGCCUGCUGAGCAGCCACCUGACUUUCCAGCAGGGACUGAGGGGUGCUUUAUGAAUCCCUACCCCAAACUGAGGAGCUAUAGAAAGUUGUGGCUUCCAAGAAACUUAGAACCAGUUUUGUAUAAGAAUGUGGCUCCUAGUAAGUCAACCGUACCCCCCAGUGGGUGGCCCCAUACCCAGGAAUAUAUGAGCGGCUUAAAUUAGAGUUGAUGGGUUAUGAAAAGACAUGAUGUUGGGAAAAUGAAGUUGGAUCCGGGAAGAGUCGGGGUGAGAAGUUGAUGGUGAGUAUGUGCAAAAUACAUUUUAUGAUAUUCUUAAAGAAAUAAUUAAAAUCUUUUUUAAUGAGGA